UACGGGGGGGGGCAAGCGUUGUUCGGAAUUACUGGGCGUAAAGGGCUCGUAGGCGGCCAACUAAGUCAGACGUGAAAUCCCUCGGCUUAACCGGGGAACUGCAUCUGAUACUGGAUGGCUUGAGAUUGGGAGAGGGAUGCGGAAUUCCAGGUGUAGCGGUGAAAUGCGUAGAUAUCUGGAGGAACACCGGUGGCGAAGGCGGCAUCCUGGACCAACACUGACGCUGAGGAGCGAAAGCGUGGGGAGCGAACAGG
rnacentral:rRNA from 1 species